UAAUCUGGAUCGGUUUUACCUCUUUCCCCACUUUGGGGCCCAAGCAAAAGAAUGUGAAAGACCACCUUUCCUAGGAUGCACUGCGGUGCGUUCAGCUCCACUUCCUCCUUAGACGGAGGGAAGGAUACAGCGAAGCUUGUGUGGUAAAAGCCGAGUUAAAGGGGAUGGUGGUCGGAAAUAGAGGUCUGGAGUUCACGACUUCUCUAGAAGGAGGGGAGGGGAAUGAAAGGCUCCCGUUGAAGAAGUAUUCCAGAUGGGAAAAAUGAGCUGGGCCCCUAAUGUUAGUUGCCCUGAUACAUAACUCUUCUACCACCAUUACUAUAGCAUCACUUGCAUCUGAAUUGCAAAAAUUUAGUUAAAACUGAAAUUCAUAUUUUUUUCAGAGUUUCUAGUAUGGUGCUUCUAAACUUCCUGGAUUGCUUUCAACAAACGUGAUGAUGAAACUGAUGCACAGUGGGGUUAAGUAACUUGCUCAGUGUUUCACUGCUGGCAUUCUUUGUUUUACUGCAUUUUGUUUUAUUGUGUUUCGCAGAUACUGCAUUUUUUACGAAUUGAAGGUUUGUGGCAACCCUGCAUCAAAGUGAAUUUCUGACAGCUCCAUUUUCUAACAGCAUUUGCUCAUUUUGUGUCUCUGUGUCUACUCCUGGUGGAGAUGCUGUGAAGAUUGUUGAAAUGACAACAAAGGAUUUAGAAUGUUUCAUAACUUUGUUGAUAAAGCAGCAAGAUUGUUUGAGAGGACUGACUCCAGUUUUGAAAGGAGUUUUCCUGUGGGUAAAAUGCUACCAAACAGCAUUGCAUGCUACAGAGAAAUCAUCUGUGAAAGGAGGAGUCAGUGCGGCACAUUUCACUAUUGUCUUCUUUUAAGAAAUUUCCACAACCACUCCAGCAUCCACCAUUCUGAUCAGUCAGCAGCCAACAGCAUUGAGGCAAGACCCUCCACCAGCAAAAAGAAUCUAACUCACUGAAGGCUCAGAUAAUGCUUAGCAUUUUUGAGCAAUAAAGUAUUUUUAAAUUAAGGUUCAGAACCUUUCAGAUCAACUUACCAGUAAGUUCAGUAUGUGAAACAGAUAAACGUAGUUGAAAUGGGACAAGAUAAGAGUUACUUCAACCUGCCAGCAUUCCCUGCUCUCAUUCCUACUCUGCACAGAAGAAGCUCCAGGGGGUACUUUGGAAGCCAUUGGAAAAAAAUCAUUCCCUCAUAAAUGACUUGAAAUGCCACAUCUGUAAUAUGCUACAUUAAAACGUUUGCUUAUUCCAAUUAUCUUUCUAUUUUCUUCCAAUCUCAUAUUUUAAUUUAUGGAGCCAAAGAGCUUUGUAAUAUAAAAAAAGAAAUUGAAACAUCUAAUAAGUAAAAUAACAACAUGAAGUCUUUUGGGGCCUAUAAAAUUAGCAUAUUUCUUUAUAAUAAUAUCCAUUAUUGGUAAGAGUUGACUAAAUUCUUUCAGUAUAGGGAAGAUUAAGUUGGUAAAACUAUGUAUUGGUCAAUAAUUUGAUAAUAUAUAUCACCAGUUUAUAAUGUUGAUAUUUUUCAGUCUACCAAAACAACUAGGAUUUAACCCUAAAGAAAUAACUGAAAAUGUAUGGAGAUAUUUUUUAUGUUUGUAGUAUUGAAAAUGAACCAGAUGUUUAACAGUGCAGGACUGAUCAAAUGAAUCCUAAACAGCCAUAAGACAGUAUACACUUCAGUGUCCAUCAUUACCACUUUCAGUGAGGGGAAAAAGAAAAAAUAUACCAUACUAAGCACCUUAAUUAUAUUGUCUUAUUUUAAGCCUAACAAUAUCCCUAGAUAAUAUGUAUUAUUAUUCCCAUUUAUAGAUGAGAAAACAUAGAAGUUCAAACAGUUAGUAAAGUAGGAUUGCUAGAAUUCAGCCCAUGUCUGCUCUUAAUCCUUCUUCUUAAUGGUCCUAGUGGUAUAGGAAAAUGUUUAUUUUUACUAAAUUACUGUUUUAAUACCAUCUAAGUGACAUUAAAUAAACAAAAAUCCUUCCAAAUGCAAUCACUUCUUCCUUUCCAUAGUUACAGAUGCUUCAUAAUCUGCCCCCCCAAAUGAAUCGACCAUUAUACAUUUUAAAAAUUGACUUUGGAAGUAUUAAAUGCCUGCUCUAAGAAUUCAAACAAUACUGAAAAUUAUAAAGUAGCUGUACCUUUAAUCAUAAAACAUAUUUUUGUAUAUGAUUGGAUGUACUUGUAGGCUCUGUUUUAUGCUUGUCAAUUCUAUCUCUUUUUGCUCUGAUACCGACUUUAUAGGCCCUGGUUGGGGAUGGAGACAGACCAGAAAGGCAAACUGGGUGAAGAUGCGUAGAUCUGGAUGGCUAACUUUCAACACAAUACAUUUUAUAGGUUGCAUAGCAUGGUGGUUAAAAGCACUAGUUCUGGAGCCUGACUGGCUAGAUUACGUCCCAGCUUUUGAACUUGGGUAAUUUGUCCUGUUGGUGCCUCAGUGUCUUCAUAAAAUUAAGGUGGUCAUUCAUUGCACUUACCUCAUAAAAUUGGGGUGAGGAAUAAACUAGUUAAUAUAUGUAAAGUACUUAGAACAGUACCUGGCACAUAGUAAGUACUCAACCAUUACCUGCAAUUGUCAGGAUCAUGAUCGUGGUGGUAGUGGUGAUGAUGGAUAGGUGCAGAGAUGGGGAGAAAAGAAAAAAGAACUUAUGCGCAUUUACUAUGUGCCAUUUACUCACAUGAUCUCCCAAUUAGAUCUCUCAGUUCAAUAUUUUCAUCAUUACCUUUUUAGCAGGUGAGGAAUCUAAAAUUCAAGGAGGUUAAAAUGGAAGCAGUAGAAUGAAUCAUUAGACUCAUUUCAAGGACAAAGAACGAGAUAAAUACUGAAAGCCACCUGGCCAGCAGAUAACAAAAUACUGUGGAAUGAAAUGAAAAACAAGCCUUAGAAUCACACCACCCUUUAGGACCAAGGGGGCAGUGUUUUAAUAUUCAGGACUGGUUGUGUGCCUGUCUAGUACCAGAAAACUUUGGACAUUUAACUUUUUGUGCUGGUGUAUUUUCUGUUAACAUUUUCUGUUUUUUUUUUCCCCCUGGUCUGUCCUAAAAUUACUUUUGAGUUAUCAGUCUAUUUGAUUUGUACUUUGAAGGAGCAAAAAGACAAAAGGAAUCUGUGGAACUUUCAGGAAGAACAUGUCAGACACAGGUGUGCUGGGCUUCAAAUGCCAGAAGCUCACAAGGGAAAAGAAAUGCAAGGAGGAAAACCCUUUUCCCCAGAGGCUUUUGGAAUAUUCUUUGCCCUAACCUUAGAGGAUUUCGAACAAUAUUUCCUAGAGAAUGGCCUUUCACUCACUUAUCUGUCCAGCAUGACUCAUCCCCAAGAGCUGAGUAAGUGGAAUUUUAUGGUAUUUAUGUUUUUGUGACUUUUAUAAUCAUGGUGAUAUGGAAAGAACAUGGACUUUGGAGUCAGACAGACCUUAGGUAAAUUUCUGGCUUUGUCACUUAGUAGUUGUGUAAUUUUGGCCUAGUUAAUAACUUCUCUGGGCUGCUUCAUCUACAAAAUAAUAAUGAAGUCUACAUCAUAGAAUUGGUAUGAAAAUGAGAUGAGGCAGCAAAAAUAAAAGUGAACUAUAUAAACUCUG